rnacentral:rRNA from 1 species
AUAAGCGGAGGAAAAGAAACUAACUAGGAUUCCCUUAGUAACGGCGAGUGAACCGGGAUGAGCUCAAAUUUAAAAUCUGGCGUCUUUCAGGCGUCCGAGUUGUAAUCUAUAGAGGCGUUUUCCGCGCCGGACCGCGUCCAAGUCUCUUGGAAUAGAGUAUCAAAGAGGGUGACAAUCCCGUACUUGACGCGACAACCGGUGCUCUGUGAUACGUUCUCAAUGAGUCGAGUUGUUUGGGAAUGCAGCUCUAAAUGGGUGGUAAAUUCCAUCUAAGGCUAAAUAUUGGCGAGAGACCGAUAGCGAACAAGUACCGUGAGGGAAAGAUGAAAAGCACUUUGGAAAGAGAGUUAAACAGCACGUGAAAUUGUUAAAAGGGAAACGAUUGAAGUCAGUCGUGUGAAAGGUAUUCAGCCGUCUCUGGCGGUGUAUUUGCCUUUCACGGGUCAACAUCAGUUUGAUCCGGUAGAAAAAGGCGGGAGGAA